rnacentral:lncRNA from 1 species
GUAAUAUUUUAGAAUAUGUAUUUUAGAUAUGUUUAGGGUGCGUAAACAAUGGAUUUUUAGCGUAGUGUGGUGCAUAGAUGUGGAUUUUAAAAAAAAUGGUACUUCUAGUAUAUCUAACAAUUAGUGCUGUUUUGGGACCUCUUCAUCUCAAACUUUAUUAAGGAUAUAGUACCCGGAGUAGGAGGUCAACGGAUUGGAUCAAGCUACAGAGACAGUGUAUUUCAUUCCUGUCUUAAGAAACCUUGUUGUCUAAACUAGAAACGAUUGUGUGGUGAAAAAUAGGACAUAACAGAUUGGAUCCAAAGGUAGGAUGGUUUAAAUUUGAUGAAUGAACUGUUUUUGCAUUCAAAUAAUUGGACUAAUUUCUGGCUGUUUCUAGUACCUGCUUUAUUCAUUUAUUUAUUCAUCAACAAGGAUAAAAACUUCGGAUGCCAUUAAGUUAAGGAGUCUUGGUUGUUUCAGUCUUCAUUCGCUUCAGAAAGUAGCUGUAUCUAUGUUCCCAAAGAAAGCAUGAAAAUGCCUUUUUCCCAUUGGAAAUUGUUUGUUACAAAAAGGAAAAGUUUAUGAGAAUCAAUUGAUUAUUCAUGAGGAGGAAUUACAGUUAAUUGAAACAACCGAUGCUUUUGACGCAAGGGAAAGACAACUGGAAAUGAAUUUGGAAACCACCAAAACAACAGAUCGUCUGCCGUGGUAUCCCUCCUGGAUUUGGCUUGUGCAUUACACUUAUGGGCUUUACAUCACUGAAACAUGUUUUCUGCUAUGAUAUUCCUUCUGGAUUUAGUUUGCUUUUCACACAUGCAAACUUGGGAACUUUACAGUAGUCUACUGUUUACUAAGAUCGACGUUGGAGAAGACAAAGAUGACCCAGUAGUUGAAA